UGGGGAAUUUUGGACAAUGGGCGAAAGCCUGAUCCAGCAAUGCCGCGUGUGUGAAGAAGGCCUUCGGGUUGUAAAGCACUUUUGCCCGGAAAGAAAUCCUUGGCUCUAAUACAGUCGGGGGAUGACGGUACCGGAAGAAUAAGCACCGGCUAACUACGUGCCAGCAGCCGCGGUAAUACGUAGGGUGCAAGCGUUAAUCGGAAUUACUGGGCGUAAAGCGUGCGCAGGCGGUUUGCUAAGACCGAUGUGAAAUCCCCGGGCUCAACCUGGGAACUGCAUUGGUGACUGGCAGGCUAGAGUAUGGCAGAGGGGGGUUAGAAUUCCACGUGUAGCAGUGAAAGUGCGUAGAGAUGUGGAGGAAUACCGAUGGCGAAGGCAGCCCCCUGGGCCAAUACUGACGCUCAUGCACGAAAGCGUGGGGAGCAAAGCAGGAUUCAGAUACCCUGGUAGUCCACGCCCUAAACGAUGUCAACUAGUUGUUGGGGAUUCAUUUCCUUAGUAACGUAGCUAACGCGUGAAGUUGACC
rnacentral:rRNA from 1 species